rnacentral:tRNA from 1 species
GUCUAGUUAGCUUGAAGGGUAGUGUGCCUGCCUUUUGAGCACUAGGUCAUGGGUUCAAUUCCCAUCUAAGGCA